UCAUGGCUCAGGACGAACGCUGGCGGCGUGCUUAACACAUGCAAGUCGAACGAUGAACUGGAGCUUGCUCCAGGGAUUAGUGGCGAACGGGUGAGUAACACGUGAGUAACCUGCCCUUGACUCUGGGAUAAGCGCUAGAAAUGGCGUCUAAUACCGGAUACGAGCUUCAGCCGCAUGGCUAGGAGUUGGAAAGAAUUUUGGUCAAGGAUGGACUCGCGGCCUAUCAGCUAGUUGGUGAGGUAAUGGCUCACCAAGGCGACGACGGGUAGCCGGCCUGAGAGGGUGACCGGCCACACUGGGACUGAGACACGGCCCAGACUCCUACGGGAGGCAGCAGUGGGGAAUAUUGCACAAUGGGCGAAAGCCUGAUGCAGCAACGCCGCGUGAGGGAUGACGGCCUUCGGGUUGUAAACCUCUUUUAGUAGGGAAGAAGCGAAAGUGACGGUACCUGCAGAAAAAGCACCGGCUAACUACGUGCCAGCAGCCGCGGUAAUACGUAGGGUGCAAGCGUUGUCCGGAAUUAUUGGGCGUAAAGAGCUCGUAGGCGGUUUGUCGCGUCUGCUGUGAAAUCUGGGGGCUCAACCCCCAGCCUGCAGUGGGUACGGGCAGACUAGAGUGCGGUAGGGGAGAUUGGAAUUCCUGGUGUAGCGGUGGAAUGCGCAGAUA
rnacentral:rRNA from 1 species